UACGAAGGGGGCGAGCGUUGUUCGGAAUUACUGGGCGUAAAGGGCGCGUAGGCGGCGACCCAAGUCAGAUGUGAAAGUCCUGGGCUUAACCUGGGGACUGCAUUUGAUACUGGGUUGCUUGAAUUCGGGAGAGGAUAGCGGAAUUCCCAGUGUAGAGGUGAAAUUCGUAGAUAUUGGGAAGAACACCAGUGGCGAAGGCGGCUCACUGGCCCGUAACUGACGCUGAGGUGCGAAAGCGUGGGGAGCAAACAGG
rnacentral:rRNA from 1 species